rnacentral:rRNA from 1 species
UACGUAGGGGGCUAGCGUUGUCCGGAAUCAUUGGGCGUAAAGCGCGUGUAGGCGGUUCGGUAAGUCCGCUGUGAAAGUCGGGGGCUCAACCCUCGGAUGCCGGUGGAUACUGUCGGGCUUGAGUACGGAAGAGGCGAGUGGAAUUCCUGGUGUAGCGGUGAAAUGCGCAGAUAUCAGGAGGAACACCAAUUGCGAAGGCAGCUCGCUGGGACGUUACUGACGCUGAGAAGCGAAAGCAUGGGGAGCGAACAGG